rnacentral:misc_RNA from 1 species
AAGUCGUAACAAGGUUUCCGUAGGUGAACCUGCGGAAGGAUCAUUACCGAAACGAAGACUUGGUUGGCAUGCAUCCGCUGUGUGCGUGCGACCAGUCUGAGUUUAGCAGUUCAACUGUGCAGGUUGUAACUGUUGCCUUAAAGUCUUGCCGUAAAACGCAAGCCUGGCGUUGGUUUGGGGCGUUUGGUCGUCGGAGGUCUGUACCGCGCGAUGGUGCAGCUCUGGCUGACUGCUGAGCCAGCGUCAGAAAACUCUACGGGCAUGAUCACCGUGCUUGUACUGGCAACUAGCGUGUCGUGUCUGUGGCCGAGUGUUGUGUCCGCGGCGAUUGUGAGCGAAAAUGCAACCGAUUGAAUCACUCUAAGCGGUGGAUCAUUCGGCUCGUGG